GACCUGGCUGGAUGGUCCGCUUAACGGCGUGUACUGUUCGGCUGGGCCUUACCUCUUGGUGAGCCAGCGUGCCCUUUAUUGGUGUGCGUUGGGGAACCAGGACUUUUACCUUGAGAAAAUUAGAGUGUUCAAAGCAGGCAUUUGCCCGAAUACAUUAGCAUGGAAUAAUAAAAUAGGACG
rnacentral:rRNA from 1 species